rnacentral:rRNA from 1 species
CAAGUCGUGGGAGAACGGGGGGCUUCGGCUUCCCUAGUAAACCGGCGCACGGGUGAGUAACACGUAGGUAACCUGCCUUCGAGCCUGGGAUAACCUAUCGAAAGAUGGGCUAAUACCGGAUAAGACCACGGGAGUUUCGGCUUCUGCGGCCAAAGGUGGCCUCUACUUGUAAGCUACCACUUGGAGAUGGGCCUGCGGGCCAUUAGCUAGUUGGUGAGGUAACGGCUCACCAAGGCUACGAUGGCUAGCUGGUCUAAGAGGAUGAUCAGCCACACUGGGACUGAGACACGGCCCAGACUCCUACGGGAGGCAGCAGUAGGGAAUAUUGCGCAAUGGGGAAACCCUGACGCAGCGACGCCGCGUGGGUGAUGAAGGCCUUCGGGUCGUAAAGCCCUGUCGGAGGGGAAGAAGGGUUGGCGCUCGAAUAGGGCGUUGACUUGACGGUACCCUCAAAGGAAGCACCGGCUAACUCCGUGCCAGCAGCCGCGGUAA